rnacentral:sRNA from 1 species
UUUUCACCCUGCGUUAAGGAUUGUAGCGGCAUCCUUUUUUACUUGUUUUAAUUUUAGUACUCAUAUUCUAGACAUAAACUAUAGAUCUAGAAUGGUAGAGCACACCUAUUUAAACGUGUAAAAAAGAUAUAGCGAAAAGCCUGGUCUUGU